AAAUAAAAUAUUGAGAGGACUGGUCAAGUGAGGAUUAGACCGGUCGGCCAGAUAUGGGGGAUUGGCUCCCCGGGUGCACAUGUUUGAGAGGAUGGGCUGUUUGAGAGGACGGCUCGUCGGGGAUUUAGGUGACGCCACUGACUAAUUUCCACGUGAUGUGAUUAUUUGAAGGUGAUAUUGUUUGUGGGUGCUGAUGUAAUGUCAUAUGGUUGACUGUUGUGUGUUCAUUCAGUAUACUAGGGUGCAUUUUGCUUGCCUGUAUGUGGUGUGUAUUAUUUAUUAUUAUUCACUGAGUUGCAAAACUCACCCCCUUCUCUCCAAACUUCCCAGGUACUAGGAAG
rnacentral:lncRNA from 1 species